GCCUAUUCUUCUAUUAUUAAUAGACUGAAGUCGCUGACAUCCUGAUGUCAUGGAUAGCCAGUGAGCAGCUACAGGAUGAGGUUUUGUGCAUAAAAGAAUGUCUGAAACGUCACAAAGUCAAAGGCAAUUUGGAGCAAGUCUGAAGGCCAACCUUAAAGGUGACUGCAACAGGCAAGAAUAUAAGCACAAAUGUGAAGACUAGUACAUUCAAGAUACCAGCAGGACUUUUCAGUGGCACAUAAGACCAGUGCAAAUCCGGAGCUUGA
rnacentral:lncRNA from 1 species